ACAACAGCUUUGACGGGAAGAAGUAAAAAUAAGCGGAACGGACAGAAAGCAACCGGUCGAUGAGAGGUGCACGGAAAACUUAUUUCGAAUACAUCCCCGAGCUUCACACCAAAUUCGUAUUUCUAAGGAUGCGAUAGUAGGCUGUGACGUAGCGGUGCACGUUAUAAGCACCUGAGUGUUGUCGGACACUCGAUGAGGCAGACAAUGUGAAUUGCCUGCGAACAAAGGUGGUAACACGAGUUUUUUCCUCGUCCUUUUU
rnacentral:ncRNA from 1 species